GAUGAACGCUGGCGGCGUGCCUAAUACAUGCAAGUCGAGCGAACGGACGAGAAGCUUGCUUCUCUGAUGUUAGCGGCGGACGGGUGAGUAACACGUGGAUAACCUACCUAUAAGACUGGGAUAACUUCGGGAAACCGUAGCUAAUACCGGAUAAUAUUUUGAGCCGCAUGGUUCAAAAGUGAAAGACGGUCUUGCUGUCACUUAUAGAUGGAUCCGCGCUGCAUUAGCUAGUUGGUAAGGUAACGGCUUACCAAGGCAACGAUGCAUAGCCGACCUGAGAGGGUGAUCGGCCACACUGGAGCUGAGACACGGUCCAGACUCCUACGGGAGGCAGCAGUAGGGAAUCUUCCGCAAUGGGCGAAAGCCUGACGGAGCAACGCCGCGUGAGUGAUGAAGGUCUUCGGAUCGUAAAACUCUGUUAUUAGGGAAGAACAUAUGUGUAAGUAACUGUGCACAUCUUGACGGUACCUAAUCAGAAAGCCACGGCUAACUACGUG
rnacentral:rRNA from 1 species